UACGGAGGGUGCAAGCGUUAUCCGGAUUCACUGGGUUUAAAGGGUGCGUAGGUGGGUUGGUAAGUCAGUGGUGAAAUCUCCAGGCUUAACUUGGAAACUGCCAUUGAUACUAUCAAUCUUGAAUACCGUGGAGAUGAGCGGAAUAUGUCAUGUAGCGGUGAAAUGCUUAGAUAUGACAUAGAACACCAAUUGCGAAGGCAGCUCACUACUCAAUCAUUGACGCUGAGGCACGAAAGCGUGGGGAUCAAACAGG
rnacentral:rRNA from 1 species